rnacentral:rRNA from 1 species
ACAUGAAGCUGGAAUCGCUAGUAAUCGCGGAUCAGAAUGCCGCGGUGAAUACGUUCCCGGGUCUUGUACACACCGCCCGUCACACCAUGGGAGUCGGAAAUGCCCGAAGUCUGUGACCCAACCGCGAGGAGGGAGCAGCCGAAGGCAGGUCGGAUGACUGGGGUNAAGUCGUAACAAGGUACC